rnacentral:lncRNA from 1 species
AUGUACAUACAGAUAAUCAAUCAUAUAAUCAAUCUGUGUGUGUAUCUCAGAAAAAUGCCCCUACAACUUAUUGAAGGGAUGUCCACCAGGAAGCGAAGACCUAACUGGACAGACCAGGAGUGUCUUCUCCUUGCUCAGUUAAUGCAGGAGAGGAAAGGCGUAAUCCGAGGGAAGUGCAGCACCGGAGUUUCAAUACAGGAUAAAAGACAAGCCUGGGAGGAAAUAACCCAAGCCAUCAAUGCUGCCUUUCCACAGAUUCAGCGUACAGUUUCCGACUGUAACAAAAAGUGGGAGAAUUUGCUGGCAAAGUCAAGGGAGGAGAUCAAACGACAAAAAAGGCAAGCGGGAACAGAAGGCCUGUCCCUUGAUCAGUUCAGUACUGUGACUCAAGUAGUGAUUUCUGUGAUGAACCUCUCAGACAUGCUGCAACAGGAUGGAGAAAACUCUUCAGUCUCAGAGUUGGUGGAAACUCACCAAAACAGCUGUGAUGAAGAUGGAGAUGACCACACAAUAGAUGAAAGAUUCUCAAACAAACAUCCACUGACUGAGCUUGAUCUCCCUACAUAUCCAGAUCCUUCUACUUCUUCAGCAGAACAGAAAGUGACUUUCACCAACGUCCCGAAAUCACUGGCAGUGCAGUUUAGUGCUCAUCGUGCUGCUGGCUUUACUGCGUCUACAGAACGACUAGAUACUCCCUGCUCUACUUCUCCGCCCUCAGUACACUGCCCAACUUUGCAAGAGCGAAUGGAUUUGGAAAUAUCUGUGCUGAGAAGACAAGAGGCCGUCCUCAAGCUGCAAGAGGAAUAUUACACACUAAAAAUUAAGCUAAUGAAAAAGCAAAUGGAAGAGCCCCUUUCAAAGGACUGAAGUAGCUGUAGAGAACGACUUGUUGAGCCUGUGAACUGUGACCAUUCAAGUCAACAGAAAUUCAAGUAGUAUAUGAUUUGUUAGGGCUAAAGCUGAAAUGUGUCAUAUUCUUCUUUGUGUAAAGAACUGAUGUAAAACACUGAAAAAUACACAUUUAAUUUGGUUGGAGACACAUUCCAUAUUCGGCUGUUUUGAUCAGGUUUGUGAGGUCACACGUGACAGUACCGCGGCCCAGCUCUAAUAGCGAUGUCACCUCUCAAUGUGAAGCAGGAUUCACCAAGUGUUGGAUUGUUCACCCACUAAAGGCCUGAAUAUACUUGAUAGUAGUUAUGUUUGUACUACUUUCUGAAGUCUGAUGGCGAUAGUUUUGUGACACGGACCCCAGUGGACUGUAGCAUACUAAAGUAUAAUACCUGCUUAACAGGGAUCAUGAGCUAGGUUUAGGCUGCCUUGAGACUGACUACUUUUACCACAAGUCUGUUUUUCUCCUUAUUUCAGUAAAACAUAUUUAUGUUAUGUUUAACUUUUCUGUUGGUGUUUUCUUCUCAAACUGGAAUGGUCAAUUGACUUUUUUCACAGUACACAUUUUGACUUAUAACAGGAACAGCAGAGCUUAUCAGUAUCAUGAGCAUGGAACUGGGAAACCUAAAUGGAAUGCAGCCAUAAUUAGUAUUAUGGGUUAUACCUGUGCUUUUCCUGCUAUGACCUCAAAAUAUCUGAAGUAUUCCCUGUGUACUGCUGGCCUGGGGAGACUGUGGAGAGCCAUGUAUUAUACAUAUGAAGCAACCGAUUACUUCUUCACAAUUCACCAGGAGUGUGUAAUGCAUGCAGUAGUUGGCUCCCCUAGGUCUCACUUCCAUUCAUGCAGGUGCUGUAACCAACCAGUAGCAGUCAUUGGUGUGAUAAAAAUGAUCCCCCACUUGCUUCCAACGUGCAAACAAGACCGAGCUCAAGGUCCUAUUGCUUGGAAAUGAACUUGGCUUCACAAGUCUGUGUAGUUUGAACAUGCAGGAAGACCAAAUUGCAGAUUUGAAUAUAGCCUUUAGCCUGUUUUUUAUUCUCAGCGUGCAUAUAUCUGUGUCCAUGGUUAUGGCCCCAAGAGCCAUUUUGUCUGCACCAGACAACCAUAAUGCUAAGACCACACUACAUUUUAAAACAUUACUAUUAUGUAUUAUGGCAUCAGAACAAACCAAAACCCCAAAACCUGAUGAAAUUAGUACGCUUUAUUUAUGAUUUAUGCCAGACAUUUUUUUUCUGGUGUUCUACUUGAUUAUACUCAUUACAGAUGUCUUUUUGAAUUCUUUGUAUUGUACUGUAAUUGAUACAUUAGUGAGCUACUCAGAAUUUGCUCUUUCACACUUGGUCCCAUUGUAAUGAGGGAUUAAGUUGCUUUUAAAGUUUUUUACAAAAGCAAUCCAGCAAGGUUUGUCUGUGUUUUCUGUUUAUGUGCAUCAAUGCAUAUUUUGUAGAAUAAGAUCUAUCAUGACAUCAAGUUCUGCUUUUGUGGUGUAUGAUGAAAAUGAAGGAAUUCAUGAUGUUUGGUGCCUUGCAUUGCCUCAUUACCACUUGAAGUCUCAGUCAGUGCAAUAUAGUAAAAUUAUUGUUGUGGACUGAAAGUGUUACAGAUAUUGAUACACAAUAAUGAGAAUAUUGCUUAUGCUUAUUAGUAGGCUACAAAGAGAAAACAUUACUCACUAACAAAACCUCAAAUAAUGUUGAAAUAUUUUCCCAGGUGAAUGUAAUGUGCCAUAUAACUGUGGAAUUACAACUAUUACAUUCUCAAAUUCUUGAAAAUGUAUUCUCAGUAGGAAGCAUAAUUUAGUUUAUCUGAAGUCUCACUCAAAUGUAUAAUUUUACACUGUGAGAAAUUUAGUUUAUUUGCUGAUUCAUGCCAUUUACUCCUAAGUGCAAAUUUGGAAGCUGUAAAUGUUUGACAUAUACCAAUAGACAUAUUUAUGAAAAUUCUGCUUGGUCAUGCCAAUGUAAGUAAAGCUACAAUAAUGUCCUGUCUAGACAAAUGUAGUAAUUUGUGCGUAAUAUUUCUCAUAAAUCCGUUUAUUUGUAAGUGACCGAGGUUGGCACCCAGAUGUAAGCAGUGGGGCCCAGAGUGUUGAAUAAAAGUCUGUUAUUUGCUGUG